UGAAAUGGUUAAGAAGAGCCAACCAGU
rnacentral:piRNA from 1 species